UUGCAUUUUCCUAGACGUUGGGACCAUUAGCCAGGAUCCCCAUCUGCGUGCACCACCACCUUUAAAGGUACCUUUAAUGGUUUUCCCCAUUAUGGGAUCAGUAGUGCUGCCAAAACCUCUGUGUAUAUCUAACAGUGUAUAUCACACCC